rnacentral:misc_RNA from 1 species
UUAUUAAAUUAACUUUAUACUCCGACGUAAGAAUGCAGUGUUUUGAUGACCCCUGGGACGAAUGCCGACCAGCGGUAGGGUCGCCCCAAAAGCAACAUCGAUGGGCCCCUGGGACGAGUGAGUGCCGGCCAGCGGCAGGGUCGUCCCAAAAGCAACAUUGAUGAUAGCCCCCCGGGACGAGUGAGUGCCGGCCAGCGGCAGGGUCGUCCCGGAAGCAACAGGAUGUGUUCACAAAGGGUUGGAGUUCAGGGCACGUAGCCCUCAGCUCAAUAAUGAUCCCUCCGCAGGUUCACCUACGGAGA